AAAGUGACCAAAGUAGAAUUCAACAUCAGA
rnacentral:piRNA from 1 species